rnacentral:lncRNA from 1 species
CAUCUGAAGUGUCAUGUUUGAUCCCAUCCCAACACCAUUCACUUAUGUCCAUGCAGAGCAGGGCGGAGUACAGGAUGAGGCUGUUCCCCUCACUGGCACGUGUCCUUGUCAUGGUUUUCGCGAUACAAGUGGAAGACGCAUCAGAAACAAGUACAUCCUGCCCCAACGCUGCCUGUAUCGGUCAGGCUGUCAACAUCACGUGUGACAUCACAGGAGUAUACGAGUCUAUUGGGUGGUCCCGGCCGGAUAAUAUUGAAGUGGUAACCUGCCUGCGGAACGGUGGUAAAUGCUACAUAAACGUUCCGAAUUAUGAGACAGUCUUAGUUUCCGAUGAAAACACAUACUUCGCAUCAAGGAGUUUUCGACACGUGAUUCAGGCACCUGGAAUUGUCGUGAUGGCACGAAUCCUCUCAAGAAAACUUGUCACGUGACUGCACAUGAGGACCUGGGUGAUGUUGCAUCAAGACUGCACCUUAAUUGUGCACCACUGAAGAAUGAGACGUUCCGUGUUUUGGACAUAUGUACGGGGUUGAGCGCUGAUCCAAGAGUUAACGUGACGUUGAAGCUCAUGGAUGGUGAACGGACAUAUAAUGGGUUGACAGGCGAUGUUGCAGUUCCAGUUCCCGACGCAGCCCAUGAUGUCAAUACAACAUGUUGUGUGGUUGGUCCUGGAACAAACUGCCUCGACCUCUCCCAACGGCAACGGACAGCCGUGUGUUCACGCCCAGGUAAACCUAAAGCGAAUUCUCACAUGCGUUCGACAGGUCAUGCAGAUGAACCCACGUUGAGUGGUGCAGUGGUCAUCGUUGUUGGUGUGAUGUUGGCGGUUAGAGGCUUGUGAAUUACCUUGGCUUACCUCUUUUGAAGGAAGAUCAGACGAUAUCAUACGAGUCAGUAUGAACACCUGGCAAUGGAGACAAUAAAACGUUCCUAAAUGACA